CCUACGGGAGGCAGCAGUGGGGAAUUUUGGACAAUGGGCGCAAGCCUGAUCCAGCAAUGCCGCGUGCAGGAUGAAGGCCCUCGGGUUGUAAACUGCUUUUGUACGGAGCGAAACGGUCUCUUCUAAUACAGGGGGCUAAUGACGGUACCGUAAGAAUAAGCACCGGCUAACUACGUGCCAGCAGCCGCGGUAAUACGUAGGGUGCAAGCGUUAAUCGGAAUUACUGGGCGUAAAGCGUGCGCAGGCGGUUUUGUAAGACAGAUGUGAAAUCCCCGGGCUCAACCUGGGACCUGCAUUUGUGACUGCAAGGCUGGAGUACGGUAGAGGGGGAUGGAAUUCCGCGUGUAGCAGUGGAAUGCGUAGAUAUGCGGAGGAACACCGAUGGCGAAGGCAAUCCCCUGGACCUGUACUGACGCUCAUGCACGAAAGCGUGGGGAGCAAACAGGAUUAGAUACCCUGGUAGUCCACGCCCUAAACGAUGUCAACUGGUUGUUGGGUCUUUACUGACUCAGUAACGAAGCUAACGCGUGAAGUUGACCGCCUGGGGAGUACGGCCGCAAGGUUGAAACUCAAAUGAAUUGACGGCNGAGAGNGCGAGACGACGACGAGGGAGGAGG
rnacentral:rRNA from 1 species